UGGGGAAUAUUGCACAAUGGGCGCAAGCCUGAUGCAGCCAUGCCGCGUGUAUGAAGAAGGCCUUCGGGUUGUAAAGUACUUUCAGUCGGGAGGAAGGUGUCAAGGUUAAUAACCUUGGCAAUUGACGUUACCGACAGAAGAAGCACCGGCUAACUCCGUGCCAGCAGCCGCGGUAAUACGGAGGGUGCAAGCGUUAAUCGGAAUUACUGGGCGUAAAGCGCACGCAGGCGGUUGAUUGAGUCAGAUGUGAAAUCCCCGGGCUUAACCCGGGAAGUGCAUCUGAUACUGGUCAGCUAGAGUCUUGUAGAGGGGGGUAGAAUUCCAUGUGUAGCGGUGAAAUGCGUAGAGAUGUGGAGGAAUACCGGUGGCGAAGGCGGCCCCCUGGUCAAAGACUGACGCUCAGGUGCGAAAGAGUGGGGAGCAAACAGG
rnacentral:rRNA from 1 species